rnacentral:tRNA from 2 species
GGGCCAAUGGUGUUAGUGGUAGCACGCCUCAUUUGCAAUGAGGAAGUUAGGGUUCGAUUCCCUAUUGGUCCA